rnacentral:rRNA from 1 species
GACGAACGCUGGCGGCGUGCCUAAUACAUGCAAGUCGAGCGAAUCAAUGGGAGCUUGCUCCCUGAGAUUAGCGGCGGACGGGUGAGUAACACGUGGGUAACCUGCCUGUAAGACUGGGAUAACUUCGGGAAACCGGAGCUAAUACCGGAUACGUUCUUUUUUCGCAUGAGGAGAGAUGGAAAGAUGGUUCUGCUAUCACUUACAGAUGGACCCGCGGCGCAUUAGCUAGUUGGUGAGGUAACGGCUCACCAAGGCGACGAUGCGUAGCCGACCUGAGAGGGUGAUCGGCCACACUGGGACUGAGACACGGCCCAGACUCCUACGGGAGGCAGCAAUAGGGAAUCUUCCGCAAUGGACGAAAGUCUGACGGAGCAACGCCGCGUGAGCGAAGAAGGCCUUCGGGUCGUAAAGCUCUGUUGUUAGGGAAGAACAAGUACGAGAGUAACUGCUCGUACCUUGACGGUACCUAACCAGAAAGCCACGGCUAACUACGUGCCAGCAGCCGCAGUAA